rnacentral:rRNA from 1 species
GAUGAACGCUGGCGGCGUGCCUAAUACAUGCCAGUCGAGCGAACGGACGAGAAGCUUGCUUCUCUCAUGUUAGCGGCGGACGGGUGAGUAACACGUGGAUAACCUACCUAUAUGACUGGGAUAACUUCGGGAAACCGGCGCUAAUACCGGAUAAUAUUUUGAACCGCAUGGUUCAAAAGUGAAAGACGGUCUUGCUGUCACUUAUAGAUGGAUCCGCGCUGCAUUAGCUAGUUGGUAAGGUAACGGCUUACCAAGGCAACGAGGCAUAGCCGACCUGUGAGGGGGGUAGCCCACCCUGGAGCGUAGCCGCGCACCAUGCGCCUGCGGGACGCAGCAGUAGGGUACCGUCCGCAGUGGGCGAAAGCCUGACGGAGCAACGCCGCGCGAGUGAUGAAGGUCUUCGGAUCGUAAAGCUCUGUUAUUAGUGAUGAACAUAUGUGGAAGUAACUGUGCACAUAGUGACGGUACCUAAUCAGAAAGCCACGGCUAACUACGUG